rnacentral:rRNA from 1 species
GACGAACGCUGGCGGCGUGCUUAACACAUGCAAGUCGAACGGAACACCCUUGACAGAGGUUUCGGCCAAUGAAGAGGGCUGUUUAGUGGCGGACUGGUGAGUAACGCGUGAGGAACCUGCCUUUCAGAGGGGGACAACAGCUGGAAACGGCUGCUAAUACCGCAUGAAGCAUUUGGGUGGCAUCACCCGAAUGCCAAAGAUUUAUCGCUGAAAGAUGGCCUCGCGUCUGAUUAGCUAGUUGGUGGGGUAACGGCCUACCAAGGCGACGAUCAGUAGCCGGACUGAGAGGUUGACCGGCCACAUUGGGACUGAGAUACGGCCCAGACUCCUACGGGAGGCAGCAGUGGGGAAUAUUGGGCAAUGGACGCAAGUCUGACCCAGCAACGCCGCGUGAAGGAAGAAGGCUUUCGGGUUGUAAACUUCUUUUGAGGGGGAAGAGCAGAAGACGGUACCCCUUGAAUAAGCCACGGCUAACUACGUGCCAGCCGCCGCGGUAACAC